AUCUGCUUGUCACCCAAGAACUCAAAGGAAAACAGAUCUGUGUCUUGGGCCAGAGCAUGUGUUGGAACAGGAACUAAAUUCUGGAAGCCUGAGAGUUCCUUGUGUGGAGUAACAAAUCAAUCAGAGGGUGAAAUCAUAGAGAUCUAAAUUUAUCCCCAGAGGAAGAAAAGUCUAAUGACUCCAUGACCGUAUAGAACUUCGUGGUUAUAAGGAGACAGCAUACUCAAGGGGCUUUGAUGCUGUCUAAAAUACAACCACUGCUGGGGAGUUGUCAGUCAUGUGUACCUCAGAGAACCUGAAGGAUUUCAGACUGGGCUUUAAUGGAAGAGGAGGGAGAGAAGAUCACAGGAGCAGAACGUUAGAACUGAGAGAGCCUUUGGGAGCCCCAUCUCACCUCCCCAUCACCUGCAGGUGGGGAAACUGGGCCAUGGAGAGAGUUAGUGAGUCGGUCUCUCUUUUGUAACAUUUGCUCCACUUCCCACUAUGGGCGAGCAUGCACGAGUGUGUGUGUGCUUGUGCUUACUUGUUAUCUGCACUGGGGAGUGUCCCAGUCACUGAUGCCACAUGACAAAACAGUCCGAACUCAGCAGGGUGAGAUGGUGGCGUGUUGUCCAGCUCACAGAUUGUGCGGAUCAGGAAUGCAGGGAGCAACGAGGACGGCUUGUCUCUGCUCCACAAUGCGUGGGGCUUCACUUGGGGAGACUCAAAUGACUGGUGGGGACUUAGACACCCGGGAGCUACGAUCAUCUGGAGGUCCGGGCUGGUCUGGUACCCGGGCUGGGGUGACUCAUCCGGAGUGCACAGGUGUGCACAGCCCUCUCACUGCAUAGUGCCUGGUUUCACAAAAACCAGGUGGGAGCUGCCUGGACUCUCUGACCUAGUCCUAGAAAUGUC